rnacentral:lncRNA from 1 species
AUGCCCGCCCCGCCCCGCGCCACCAUCCGGCCGGCCGCUCCUGCGCAGCGCCCAUCGGCGUACGAAGGGUCAGAAGGGAGAGGGCCUCCCGCCGCGGUCCCCGCGGCCCCAGCGCCGCCAUCCCGCGGGGUCAGGGGCGCCCUCACCGUCCAUGGCCGGGGUCCCGGGGGCGGGGCCGGGGUCGCAGCUGGGCCCGCGGCGCGCGCUACUGUCGAGCCAUUCGCCAGAGGCGGAAAUGCGCCGCGCGCGCCCGCCGCCGCGUCACUGCGGGAAUCCGACCGCGCCUGCGCAAUGCGUCUCCGUCGCCCUCGUCUGCGCCGCGGUGCCGCCGCCACUGGGAGAGAUUCAGGGCGAACGCGCGCCGCGCGGAGGACAGACAGGCCGCGUGCAGGGUGGACAGCCUGCUUGCGCCGCCGCUGCCGGCGACCCGGAGCUAGUGCGCGCCACGCCGGGCACCGACAGGCAGCUCGCCGGGAGGCCGCUCCGGGGCUGGCGGGGCAGCUCGGCUCGCUCCCGAGUCUGGGCCCCGCCUGGAGGGCGGGGCCUGCGAUUACUCACUAUGUUUUAGGGAUUUCGGGGCCUCCUCCCGCCGAUCGGAGGAGUUUGGUGAUGUCACCCCGAGCCGGUCUGGAGCCAAGCUAGGCUGCCGGGCUUUGACCGCCCGCCCCGCGCAGGAAAGGCUCCGCGCGCGCCCGCCGCCGCGUCACUGCGGGAAUCCGACCGCGCCUGCGCAAUGCGUCUCCGUCGCCCUCGUCUGCGCCGCGGUGCCGCCGCCACUGGGAGAGAUUCAGGGGCGAACGCGCGCCGCGCGGAGGACAGACAGGCCGCGUGCAGGGUGGACAGCCUGCUUGCGCCGCCGCUGCCGGCGACCCGGAGCUAGUGCGCGCCACGCCGGGCACCGACAGGCAGCUCGCCGGGAGGCCGCUCCGGGGCUGGCGGGGCAGCUCGGCUCGCUCCCGAGUCUGGGCCCCGCCUGGAGGGCGGGGCCUGCGAUUACUCACUAUGUUUUAGGGAUUUCGGGGCCUCCUCCCGCCGAUCGGAGGAGUUUGGUGAUGUCACCCCGAGCCGGUCUGGAGCCAAGCUAGGCUGCCGGGCUUUGACCGCCCGCCCCGCGCAGGAAAGGCUCCGGCCUGCUUCGCCCGCAAAGGCCAGGUGGCUCAACUCUUCACGGUUUCCUAGUCAAUAAAAGUGCUUCUUGAUGCUUAUUGCCGCAUAAGCACUUUUAAUUUCCAGUCCACCCCAGUCUGGAUGCAACGAGGAAAAGAGAAGCGGCCUGGACCUCCCCACCUGGCAGUACUCGGAUCGUGGCCUCGCGGAGCCUGCUGCACGUUAGCGUGAUCAGAGGCUCCGCGCCGCGUCCGCUCGCGCAGUACCCGCAGGCUCGUCGGUUUAAGAUCAUCCACACUGCCGACCCUCGGGGCAGUGGGUGGACAGGGUAGUCACCCAGGGUAAAUCUCUGGAGCUCGUCUCUGCAGCCUGACACCUCUGUUCCGUUUGAACUCCUUACCCGCCCCUCCUCCCAGGGCUUCCUGCUGGGGUCCAAGAGUUUCUCAAAGCAUUUCCACUAAUUAACUGUCUCUGUGACUCCUCGCCGAGGGUAUCGUCCCCAAGGUUUAACCCCAUACAAGCACGUACGAGCGGGUUGGGGGUCGGGCUGGAGCACACACCGCCCCGGGAGGAUUUUUCAUCCCACAGUGAGGAUGCUCCAAGGCUGGCGGCAGUCUUCCCCAGAUGCAGGAAGGCUUUUAUUUUCUCUAAGUUCGUUCUAAAUUAGGGAAUCGUGUGGAAUUGGAAAAGAUUGAAAUUCUGACUUGCUUUCCCAGGCUCAAAAAAACAGGAAGAGAAAAGUGAAAACAGUUAACCACCCUCCCACUCAUUUCGGUUUCAUGUGGCUGCCCCGGAUUAGAAAAGGCACCUUACUCUUUCUGAGGAGGCAGUCGUCAGGAAGAAAGAGUGGAUUAAUUAUAAUCUUCGAUUAAUGACACAAUCAUCAUUGAGGCUAGCAUGGUCCUCCUUUUAAAAUUUAGAUAUGUAUACCUUUCAGAUUAAUACGAGUUCCACUGCACCCACUGCAAAACUCAAGAGGCUGGAUGGAAAAGCUUCAGAACUUAUAUCUACCCACCUGCUCCUCACCUGUUCAUCUUCUCCUUAUCCCAGUGUCUAGGUGCCAUCAUCCACAAUUCUGUAUUUGUUGUUCCUUUGAUUUUUCUAAAUAAAAUUUAAAGAAAAAAAUUAUAUAUACAUGAUGUUUGUUUUGCUUAGUUUUGAACUGUAAGAGAGAUGGUAU